rnacentral:lncRNA from 1 species
UUAUUGGAACUCUUUUAUGAUUCAGCUCUUCAUGGAGUUCUACUUUAUCAUGAAAUUGAGUGCACUGGUUCCUUUCAAUUAGUCCCUGAAGGUUAUUAUUUUUGGACCACAGUUGACCUAAGGUAACUGAAACUGCUGAAAACAAAACCAUGGAUAAGGGAGGACUCUUGUAUUAUCACAGAUUAUAUCAAAACUAUGGCUCUAGGCUUUUUGGAAGAGUUUAACAAGUGGAGCUUGAAGCUCUGUUUUUCCCCUUUCUCUGGGCUGUUAUUGUCAUACAAAUUACAUCUUUAUACAUGUUGUGCUGAACAACAAGUGGAUUUGUAGGUGUUUCUUUGUGAAGUUAUCUUCUAAAUCAGAAUUAGGGAAGAAAUUAUUUAAGAUAGACUCCUAGAAAUACAAUUAUCAGCUCAUGAAUAUGGACAUAAUUUGAUAAAUACAGCAAAUUGCUUUCUAAAAGUUGUUCAGUAAUUUUUGACCAAAUAGAGCUUCCAUGUUUUCAAA